rnacentral:rRNA from 1 species
UUCUGGGAGGAUUGACAGAUUGAAAGCUCUUUCUUUAUUCGGUGGAUGGCGGUGCAUGUCCGUUCUUAGUUGGUGGAGCGAUUUGUCUGGUUAAUUCCGAUAACGAACGAGACUCUAGCCUAUUAAAUAGGUGCGUGGUUCUCUGCACCUUGCACCCUUCUUAGAGGGACAAGUGGCUCGAAACAGAGAAAUAACAGGUCUGUAAUGCCCUUAGAU